rnacentral:rRNA from 1 species
CGUAGGUAAUGUACCUUUGGGUGGGGAAUAACUUAGGGAAACUUAAGCUAAUACCGCAUAAUGCAGCGGCUCCAUAUGGAGACAGUUGUUAAAGAUUUAUCGCCUAAAGAGCAGCCUGCGGCAGAUUAGCUAGUUGGUAAGGUAAUGGCUUACCAAGGCUACGAUCAGUAGCUGGUCUGAGAGGAUGAUCAGCCACAUUGGGACUGAGACACGGCCCAA